rnacentral:lncRNA from 1 species
UUGGUUAGAUCUCGCUUUUCACGCUUAUUUUCGACGGUUUUCAAAAGGCACACCGUCUCACCGUGUCUCUGUCAACUGUUCCCUAUUGUUAUCUUGGAGUCGAGCCGGAAACGGACACCGGUUUCUUAACGACUUUUCGACACCAGACGGGACUUCUACCUGCCGAGAGCUCAGAAUGGAAUGUGGGCCUGGCAGGUGCGUAAGGCGCGUGUACAUGUGGACGAGCCUUAACGUCUCGUAGGAAAGCUGCGUGCAGUCGAUCGAGAACGAGAUAAUACGAACGAAUUUUGGGUCACGGAUAUUUCGAAGAGAAUAUUGCUGGCUGGCUCCAAGAAUUUUUCCUCGUCAUUUUGGAACGUUUCUCAAAGAUAUAACGUCAAAGUUUAUAGUUUUUUUUUUUUUAUAGUUCCCCGAGAAUUUCCAAGGAAAAAGAAGUUGACCCGUUGUUGGAACACUUCCAAUGGAACUUUACCCAAGAAUAUCGAGACACAUUUUUCAAAAAAUUUAUUAGUUAACGUAGUUAACUAGUAAUGGAUGAAGAUAGAUUCGUAAAAAGAUAAUGAAUAAUAUAACGCAUAAUUAGGAGAUCGAGUAUUUUUCGAACCAACUGUACAUUUCCACGUAUAUAUUACGCGAUGGAGGAAAAAGAUGAGAGAAAAGAUGACGUAGAUGACCGCGUCGCUAUACGAUUUACGUAUAUUCACUCGUUCGACGGAUAACAUAUUCAUCGAAAGUAUGGAUUCCACGGCAAAUUUGUGUCACGACCGAAAUAAUACGGCUGUUUCGCGUGGCCAUGGAUGCAAACGACGCGUGAAAAGAAGUUGGUGUAAACCCUGUUUCUAAAAUUUCGUCAAUUGAACCUUGCGAUCUGACUUUUUCAUUCCAUAAUGGUAUAAUUAUCUUAUCUUGAAUUCCGAAGAAAUCGUUCGUUUACAUAUAAUGAAAUGUUGACUCAUCGUUGGACAAGGAGGAUGAUGUUGCAAUAGAGGAGAAAUUUGAAUGAAUAUUCAAAUUUUUUUUUUUAUGAAUAUAUUGUUGGAAGGAUAAUUAAUAGUUGGUAGAACGAUAUUCUAAAUUCAUAAGUUUAUUGUAUAAAUAAAGUACUUUUCAAAAAUUCAUAUUUCGUUGCUUAAUUUUCAGAAUUUUAUAGACGAAGCAAGAUUCGAUUUUGAUAUAAGAUUCAAGAUAUUGAAAAGUUGAUGUGUAGACGAUAAUAUCUUUUGUAAGCUGCUUAAAUAACGCGUUAAACGAACAUUGAUGGAUUGUAUAGUGGAACGAUUAUUGAUAGACAUUGUAUAAUGUGGAUUAAACAAUGGAACGACACAAUAGCACCUUGAUGAACAGAAUACAGCUGUCGAAACUAUUUCUUUUUUUUCUAACUGCUAAAUGCCGCUAAAUGAAACAAGAGAUUGAAACUAAAAGUUGAGUGAAACAAAUUUGUGGUGUAAUUAAUUAUAAAAUUGAAGAAGACGAAAUCGAAUACGAACGACGACACACUUGUUAACAGUGGCAGAAAAUUACACGUAACGAACCAAGUGAUAUUUUUAUUAAAGAAAAGAUAAAACGUUGGAAAGUGAAAAGAGA